rnacentral:rRNA from 2 species
GUGCUAACGUCCGUCGUGGAGAGGGAAACAACCCAGACCGCCAGCUAAGGUCCCCAAGUACUAGUUAAGUGGGAAACGAUGUGGGAAGGCAUAGACAGCCAGGAGGUUGGCUUAGAAGCAGCCACCCUUUAAAGAAAGCGUAAUAGCUCACUGGUCGAGUCGGCCUGCGCGGAAGAUGUAACGGGGCUAAAACUAGUCACCGAAGCUGCGGAUGUGCGCGAAGGCGCACGUGGUAGGGGAGCGUUCUGUAGGCUGAUGAAGGUGCAUUGAGAAGUGUGCUGGAGGUAUCAGAAGUGCGAAUGCUGACAUGAGUAACGAUAAUGUGGGUGAAAAGCCCACACGCCGGAAGUCCCAGGUUUCCUGCACGACGUUAAUCGGAGCAGGGUGAGUCGGCCCCUAAGGCGAGGCUGAAGAGCGUAGUCGAUGGGAACCAGGUUAAUAUUCCUGGACUUUUUAUAAGUGGUGAAGUGGGGACGAAGAAGGCUAGGUGAGCCAGGCGUUGGUUGUCCUGGUACUUGCAUGUAGGGGGGAAGACUUGGCAAAUCCGGUUUUCCAUAACUCUGAGGUGCGAAGUGGUUCUGACCUUUUGGUACAGAGAAGUCAUUGAUGCCCGGCUUCCAGGAAAAGCUGCUAGCCAUAACUUAUAGAGAACCGUACCGCAAACCGACACAGGUGGACAGGUAGAGAAUACUAAGGCGCUUGAGAGAACUCGGGUGAAGGAACUAGGCAAAAUGGUACCGUAACU